GGGGUGACGACCACCCACAGAUGCUUCCGGCAGUGGUGACUGCUGAUCCCCUGCGGAUGCCACCGGUGGUGUUGGCAGCGAGGGGGGGAGACGGUGAGCAGUGACUGCCUGCAGGCGCCACUGAGUGUUGGCAGUGCCUUUUCGUAGGGGGUGCGCCACCACACUCAGGGGGUGCACGUGCACCUCUGUGCACCCCCUACACAUCGACAAUGGCUCAGCCUCUCUGUCCUGUGGGUCAGACGGGCCAGGCUGGAUCCAGCUGGCGGUCCCAAUCCGGCACUGGGGCAGGCGCAAUGGGCAGAUCUGCCAAGUGAACCACAGCGGUCACUCCCCAGGUUGUUACAGGUGCCUAAGGUGUCUGCCUGGAUCUCACCCUAACCACUGCCAGCCAGUAUCCUGGCAGUUAAAGGAUUCAGGUCACGGAGCACAACAUGCAGAAGUGCAGCCCUUGUUGGGCCACGCAGCAGCAGCAACACUGCCAAUUGGCCAACCAGAGGAUGGAGUUUCCCUGUACUCUGUGUCCGGGAGCGAGUCCAGCCCAAACUGGAGCUGAGCAGUGCCUGACAAAGCUGUAUGGGCACCCUGCGCAAAGCUGUCAUAUCUAUGAAAGAAGAAUUUAAGUUGCUGUGCUGAAGAGGAACACAAUACAAGGGAGUAAACAGACAGCUGUUUUGCUCUAAUACAUGGC